rnacentral:rRNA from 2 species
UAGGGAAUCUUCGGCAAUGGGGGGAACCCUGACCGAGCAACGCCGCGUGAGUGAAGAAGGUUUUCGGAUCGUAAAGCUCUGUUGUUAAGGAAGAACGAGUGUGAGAAUGGAAAGUUCAUGCUGUGACGGUACUUAACCAGAAAGGGACGGCUAACUACGUGCCAGCAGCCGCGGUAAUACGUAGGUCCCGAGCGUUGUCCGGAUUUAUUGGGCGUAAAGCGAGCGCAGGCGGUUAGAAAAGUCUGAAGUGAAAGGCAGUGGCUCAACCAUUGUAGGCUUUGGAAACUGUUUAACUUGAGUGCAGAAGGGGAGAGUGGAAUUCCAUGUGUAGCGGUGAAGUGCGUAGAUAUAUGGAGGAACACCGGUGGCGAAAGCGGCUCUCUGGUCUGUAACUGACGCUGAGGCUCGAAAGCGUGGGGAGCGAACAGG